rnacentral:lncRNA from 1 species
UCAGAACCAGCUCUGGGCUCCUAGUGCGCUCUGGGUCUCCAUCUGGUUUGGGGGCUAUUUUGAUCCACCGGAUGCAGAGCAGCCGCCGAGAUCUGGGACUGGGUGGCUAGAGCGGCGCCUGUAUCUACAGAAGGACAAUUUAAAGACUAACGUCAAGCCCAGAGAACAAAUAAAUAAAUUCUUCUUUCUGUUCAUAAUGCUCUCUCUGCCUGUUUCUACAGGAAGUUCUGCUCUCUCUCACACUGCUGGUUGAGAAGUGGCUCUCAGCUACCCAAGGUGCAGAGCAGCUAGGAGGGGCUAGGGUAAGAAGGAGGAGAGAGGAUGCUUUGUUCUCCUUCUCUCCCU